GGUAACACCAUUCAAGCCUGAGAUGUUCCUUCCCUAAAGGCAAACUUCUGAGGCUUUCAGUCUCUGAAGGAACAAAAUCAAAACCGCUUGAACAAGUAUCCCGGCUGGAGGAAAAACUGGAGCUGUGAACCACAA
rnacentral:lncRNA from 1 species